GAUGAACGCUAGCUACAGGCUUAACACAUGCAAGUCGAGGGGCAGCAUGUCGGUUGCUUGCAACCGAUGAUGGCGACCGGCGCACGGGUGAGUAACGCGUAUCCAACCUACCCUUGUCCAUCGGAUAACCCGUCGAAAGGCGGCCUAACACGAUAUGCGGUUCUCAGCAGGCAUCUAACGAGAACGAAAUGUGAAGGAGAAGGAUGGGGAUGCGUCUGAUUAGCUUGUUGGCGGGGUAACGGCCCACCAAGGCGACGAUCAGUAGGGGUUCUGAGAGGAAGGUCCCCCACAUUGGAACUGAGACACGGUCCAAACUCCUACGGGAGGCAGCAGUGAGGAAUAUUGGUCAAUGGACGGGAGUCUGAACCAGCCAAGUAGCGUGCAGGACGACGGCCCUAUGGGCUGUAAACUGCUUUUAUAGGGGGAUAAAGUGUGCCACGUGUGGCAUAUUGCAGGUACCCUAUGAAUAAGGACCGGCUAAUUCCGUGCCAGCAGCCGCGGUAAUACGGAAGGUCCGGGCGUUAUCCGGAUUUAUUGGGUUUAAAGGGAGCGCAGGCGGUUCUUCAAGUCAGCUGUGAAAACGCGGGGCUCAACCUCGCGCCUGCAGUUGAUACUGUUGAACUUGAGUGCACACAGGGAUGUUGGAAUUCAUGGUGUAGCGGUGAAAUGCUUAGAUAUCAUGAAGAACUCCGAUCGCGAAGGCAUAUGUCCGGUGUGUUACUGACGCUGAGGCUCGAAAGCGCGGGUAUCGAACAGG
rnacentral:rRNA from 1 species